GGGGUUGUAGCUCAGUGGUAGAGCGCUUGCCUUGCAUGCAUGAGGCCCUGGGUUCAAUCCUCAGCAGUACAU
rnacentral:tRNA from 1 species